rnacentral:rRNA from 1 species
AUUGAACGCUGGCGGCAGGCCUAACACAUGCAAGUCGAGCGGAUGAAGGGAGCUUGCUCCUGGAUUCAGCGGCGGACGGGUGAGGAAUGCCUAGGAAUCUGCCUGGUAGUGGGGGAUAACGUCCGGAAACGGGCGCUAAUACCGCAUACGUCCUGAGGGAGAAAGUGGGGGAUCUUCGGACCUCACGCUAUCAGAUGAGCCUAGGUCGGAUUAGCUAGUUGGUGGGGUAAAGGCCUACCAAGGCGACGAUCCGUAACUGGUCUGAGAGGAUGAUCAGUCGCACUGGAACUGAGACACGGUCCAGACGCCUACGGGAGGCAUCAGUGGGGAAUAUUGGACCAUGGGCGAAAGCCUGAUCCAGCCAUGCCUCGUGUGUGAAGAAGGUCUUCGGAUUUUAAAGCACUUUAAGUUGGGAGGAAGGGCAGUAAGUUAAUACCUUGCUGUUUUGACGUUACCUACAGAAUAAGCACCGGCUAACUUCGUG